GUGGGAGGAAAUUGAAGAUCUCUGAGAAAACGUACAAACUCCAAACUGUUUUGCAAGUUAUAUUUCCCAUGGUCAUCAGGGAUGGAACGUUAUCUAUUAAGACUGAGGGCAGUGGAGUAGUUAUGGAAAUAAUUCCCCGUUAGGUUUGUUUUCAGUAUUCUUGAUGGUUUAAACCAGCAUCUUCAGUUCCUUCCUACACUCUGUACCUGUGGCCUGUGUUCUAUUGCCUCAGUGCAUUCCGCCCAUUAAAUAAAUUCUGAUAUUUAAUUCUGAUACUAGCACUUGGUCUUUCCUAAUCAAUUAGGAGAAGUCUUGAUUUGGUUCUAAAUGGGGGAACAUUUUGUCCACGUUCAUUACAAUAAUAUUGUUUUGUGUUGCUACUUGUUAAUGCAGAAGAUUCCUAAUAGCUAUCUCUUCAAACUGCAUUAAAUGUAAGACAUGAAUGUUGGGCAA